GAAGAGGGUAGCGGCGUCUGCGGAGACGGCGACCUGGCUGGCGGGCGCUCCGCGGUCAGGGGCGCAGCAUCCCUGAGGCUGGGAGCGCAGCAUCCCGGGUCAGCCGAGAUACUCACCGAAGGAACGAGAGAGCUGCUCUGCUGGUUUGGGUUUUGUCUGCUUAAACAUUGAACUGGAAAACAUUCCUCUCAGUGGUUUGAUAAAUAAUAAAAGUGAUCAUUUCGCCUUCCCUGUGAAUGACACAGGUAAAUUAUCCAGCUAGCCACAAAGAAGCAUCACAUGCCUGGAAGACGGUGUAAUAGAAUGCCAAUGUGUUACGAUAUGAGUGACCUCAAAAGUGUGACAAGAAGAUGAUUAUAGUGCAUUAUAUAUAGUGCAUUAUAUGUGGUACCUUUUUCAACGUUUUCUGAAGCAUGAAUGAACCUUCAUUUGACUGUGCUUUUAUUGCUAGCUUUUCUGAGCUUGAACUUGCAAGCCGUGUGACACUGUAGCUAUCCAAUUGAGUAUGCCUGGGUACACGGCCACGCUGGCUGCUGUUUCUGGUUAAGCCUUUCAAAUAAAUAUGCAUACAAAACCCAAAAAUAACUUCAGCAUUUGACUUUUUCUGUGUGCAGUAUUAUAUCUAGAUAAUUUAUACAUCUUCAGCUGGCCAGCUAAAGAUCCGAGUUCCUACCCUGAAGAUUUUAGAUUUUCAGAUGCAGGCUUCUACCUUUAGACUCCAGUAUGAAUGUGUACGUAGGAUGCAUUGUUAAUUGGUGCUGGAAGUUGCUUGUAUCUGUCAGAGGUCAGUGCCUUGCAUGGCUUGGUUUUGUGUGGUACAUACUGAUACAUGUACAUAUUUUUGCUAGUCAUAUGGAUGCAGAUGCUGUGUAUGUGAACGUUGCAAAUCUGUAAUCCCAUCAUGUGGAAAGAUUAAACAGUCUUGGUUUUGCUGUUCUUUGUGUUUAAAAGACUCCUGUUACAGAGAGACACACAAAAAAAUUGAUCUUGGUUUUGAUGACAUCAAGUAAUGGUAGCAAACGGAACUGAAUCUAAUAAUAGUUUAAGAAAAUGUUCAUUAUGUAAUACAGGAAGGAUGGCUGGAGCCCCAGCAUUGAAUGUCAACCAAGUGACACGAAGGAGCAACCUUACUGCCAAACCGCUU